UCCUUGAUAGCUCAGUCGGUAGAGCAUGCGGCUGUUAACCGCAGUGUCGUAGGUUCGAGUCCUACUCAGGGAGCUA
rnacentral:tRNA from 4 species